ensembl:lncRNA LINC02241 long intergenic non-protein coding RNA 2241
GCCUGCCGCCAUGUAAACGUUCUUUGCUCCUGCUUCGUCUUCUGCCGUGAUUGUGAGGCCUCCCCAGCCAUGUGGAACUACUCAUCACUCACUGCAGAUGUUACUUUAAGACAUUCUGGAGCAGCGUCAUGUGCAGGAACAAUAAGGAAUUCUCUUGCCUGCCACCAUGUAAGAUAUGCUUUUACUCUUCCGCCUUCCACCGUGACUGUGAGGCCUCCCCAGCCAUGUGAAACUGCCUUUGAGCUUAUACUGAAUUAUACCACCAGCUUUCCUAGGUCUUGAAGCUUACAGACAGCAGAUCUUGGGACUUCUCAGGCACCAUAAUCAAUCAUAGAUAAAUGAUCCAAUGAUUCGGAACUUGAAAAGUGGUAGCUUUAUGAAUUCUCCUUAAGAAGAAACCUGUGCCCUGAUCUUGCCUACUCACCCAAAGGCACUGUGAGAUAGCAUCAAAGGAACAGCUAGUAAGAGACACAGAGCCAGAAAUCAGGGAAGUAAAAUACACUUGACAUCUACGUUCGGAAAGAAAUUUUAGGAGGCAGAAGCAAAUGGAUCAGAAGCUGCUUAUAUUUUUGCAAGAUUACCAAAGAAACCAUUGGUGGAGAAAGUUCUGUGACCAACUUGUCUGAGUCUAGUAAGAUUGAACGCUCACACACAAGUUUCAUGAAGUGGGUUUGAUACUUACAGAUAAGCAGCAAGGACCAACAGAAGCUGAUGAUCUAUGGUGAACUUUUUCCCAAGGCUCCGGAAAGCUGCCUAAAGUAGAUGGAGUCUUCUCUGUGUGUGCCCCACUGGUCCUGCAGUUGAAGGAUCCGGUAAAGCAGCCUGCCCUUGGUUUUAUACUCCAGAGGAACGUGAUUCGCUGGACUAAAGCAUUGAAGUGCAUCCUGUUUCCGGGGGGCACUGGAACAGAGCCUGGUCUGUUCUAGCCAGUCCCUUUCUAUCUCAGGAUAACAUUCUACAGUUAUUCUUGAGAACUAUAAUCAAAUAAGCAGGGAGAACUGGGAAAGCAGAGGCUCAUUGUGGAACCCUCAAGGAGCAUGGGGUCGUCUUCAUCCCUCAGUUUAUAAAUGGCCAAGGAGAGUAAUGCAACAAAAACUUCUCAGAGUUAAAAGCCAGAGUUCCUAAAGAACCGUGGACAAAGGGUUCUGUCUAGUGGGCAGAAUUCAUCCAGCGAAGGUGCUUACUGCACUCCCAGCAUGUGCUUGGGAACUUUAUUAAAAUUCCUUCCUAUUGAGAUUUAAAUUGCUGUCCAGAAUUAUACAAUAUAAUGAAUGGGGGCAUUCAUUAUGUGUAUUCUAUGCCUUCUCCAUCAUUGCAUAUUCAGUCCUCGUGCUAGAGAGAGGCAGAUAAUCUACCUUUUAAAUUGAUAGGUCUCCUAACUACAGAGGGUCACAUCUGGAUCUGAUGGCACCUACAGAACUUGGACUCUGAGCGACAAUCAGUGACCAGGAAAUUUGGAACCCAGGUUUUCCCAACCUACAUCUACAAAAUGGAAUGGGUCUGAUUCGCAAGUUUUCAGAGAAAGAAGCCAACCUUAAUCAGACUGUGAUAUGAUGAGGAAAUAAAACUUGCUGUGCUAAUCAACUGA